rnacentral:tRNA from 1 species
GCGCUCGCGCGCCGUACCGCGGCCCUUUGGGCCGCUGGCGCUCCGCGAGGGCGCGGCAUAAGCCGCGACGGCCGGUCGGCCUUGCGAGGCUUUGCCUCGAGGUCACCAGCUCGUUACUGGCAGAGCGCGGUCUUUAGGGCUUGUAGCUCAGUUGGUUAGAGCGCGCGCUUGAUAAGCGUGAGGUCGGAGGUUCAAGUCCUCCCAGGCCCACCACUUCGCAAUCCGCAAGGAUUGUCGGAUCUCCUCGAUACUCAUCGGGAAACACUAUCAGGGGCCGUAGCUCAGCUGGGAGAGCGCCUGCUUUGCAAGCAGGAUGUCGUCGGUUCGAUCCCGUCCGGCUCCACCACUUUCUUGUCUUUGGACGAAGAAGGGGUGUCGAGUGGAGGUGAGGGGAAAAAGUCAUUCGUAAAAAGAGUUUGCGGCGAGCACUUGGCUCUCCGCCUGUUCUGUUUGACAUCGUAGAGAGAAGAUUUGUUCGAACUUCAUGAGCCGCAAGGGUCAUGAUUUGUCGCAAGGGACGCUCAAUCCCUUGCAUAUGAUGGGUUUGCCUAACCGCACCCUCGAACCGAUCUCGAGAAGCUGGUCUUUUUGUGCCAAU